rnacentral:misc_RNA from 1 species
UUAACUAUUAUAUAGUACUCAGACAUCACUAAAAACAAGAGUUGUGGUCCUCUGGCAGGCACUCAAGAGCCGAAGCCCCUGGCACGAGUGCGUCCUGCCAAAGCAACAAAGGUAUGUUAUUCAAGGGUGGAGAUCUACCCGUGAGGGCAUGAUACUCUUGUAAUGAUCCUUCCGCAGGUUCACCUACGGAAA